UCGGAGGUAGCUCAGCUGGCAGAGCAGCUGACUGUUAAUCAGCGGGUCGUGGGUUCGAGCCCCACCCUCCGAGCCA
rnacentral:tRNA from 1 species